rnacentral:rRNA from 1 species
UACGAAGGGGGCUAGCGUUGCUCGGAAUCACUGGGCGUAAAGCGCGUGUAGGCGGCUUUGCAAGUCGGGUGUGAAAGCCCUCAGCUCAACUGAGGAAGUGCGCCCGAAACUGCAGAGCUUGAGUGCCGGAGAGGGUGGCGGAAUUCCCCAAGUAGAGGUGAAAUUCGUAGAUAUGGGGAGGAACACCGGUGGCGAAGGCGGCCACCUGGACGGUAACUGACGCUGAGACGCGAAAGCGUGGGGAGCGAACAGG